ensembl:lncRNA
AGGAGAGAGAGAUGGAGACGUGGGGAGAGAGAGAUGGAGACGUGGGGAGAGAGAGAGAGAUGGAGACGUGGGGGAGAGAGAGAUGGAGACGUGGGGAGAGAGAGAUGGAGACGUGGGGAGAGAGAAAGAGAUGGAGACAUGGGGAGAGAGAGAAGAAGAGGUGGGGGAGAGAGAGAGUUGUGGAGAGGUGGGGAGAGAGAGAUAUGGAGAGGUGUGGGAGAGAGAGAGAUGGAGAGGUGGGGAGAGAGAGAGAUGGAGAUGUGGGGAGAGAGAGAGAUGGAGACGGGGAGAGAGAGAGAGAGAUGGAGAGGUGGGGAGAGAGAGAGAGAGAUGGAGAGGUGGGGAGAGAGAGAGAUAUGGAGAGGUGGGGAGAGAGAGAGAUGGAGAGGUGGGGAGAGAGAGAGAUGGAGAGGUGGGGAGAGAGAGAGAGAUGGAGAGAUG